AAGUCAUGGAAGAGACAGGCAGACAGAUGGAUAGAUGAACAGUGAGAGAUAGAUAGAUAGAUAGAUAGAUAGAUAGAUAGAUAGAUAGAAAAAGAAGUGGAAGGUAUUAAAAGGAAGUGGGAGGUAUGAAAAGGAAGUGGGAGGUAUGGAAAGGAUGUGGGCGGUAUUAAAAGGAAGUGGGAGGCAUGAAAAGGAAGUGGGAGGUAUUUAAAGAAAGUGGGAGGUAUUAAAAGGAAGUGGGAAGUAUGGAAAGGAUGUGGGCGGUAUUAAAAGGAAGUGGGAGGCAUGAAAAGGAAGUGGGAGGUAUUAACAGGAAGUGGGAGGUAUUAAAAGGAUGUGGGCGGUAUUAAAAGGAAGUGGGAGGCAUGAAAAGGAAGUGGGAGGUAUUUAAAGGAAGUGGGAGGUAUUAAAAGGAAGUGGGAAGUAUGGAAAGGAUGUGGGCGGUAUUAAAAGGAAGUGGGAGGUAUUAAAAGGAAGUGGGAAGUAUGGAAAGGAAGUGGGAGGUAUGGAAAGGAUGUGGGAGGCAUGGAAAGGAUGUGGGCGGUAUUAAAAGGAAGUGGGAGGCAUGAAAAGGAAGUGGGAGGUAUUAAAAGGAUGUGGGCGGUAUUAAAAGGAAGUGGGAGGUAUGGAAAGGAUGUGGGCGGUAUUAAAAGGAAGUGGGAGGUAUGGAAAGGAUGUGGGCGGUAUUAAAAGGAAGUGGGAGGUAUGAA